rnacentral:rRNA from 1 species
UACGAGGGGGGGCAAGCUUGUUCGGAAUUAUUGGGCGUAAAGGGCGCGUAGGCGGUUUGACAAGUCUGAUGUGAAAUCUAUGGGCUCAACCCAUAGCCUGCAUUAGAAACUGUCGGGCUUGAGUAUGGGAGAGGUGAGUGGAAUUUCCGGUGUAGCGGUGAAAUGCGUAGAUAUCGGAAGGAACACCUGUGGCGAAAGCGGCUCACUGGACCAUAACUGACGCUGAGGCGCGAAAGCUAGGGGAGCAAACAGG